rnacentral:rRNA from 1 species
UACGUAGGGUGCAAGCGUUGUCCGGAAUUAUUGGGCGUAAAGAGCUCGUAGGCGGUCUGUCGCGUCGGGAGUGAAAACUCAGGGCUUAACCCUGAGCCUGCUUCCGAUACGGGCAGACUAGAGGUAUGCAGGGGAGAACGGAAUUCCUGGUGUAGCGGUGGAAUGCGCAGAUAUCAGGAGGAACACCGGCGGCGAAGGCGGUUCUCUGGGCAUUACCUGACGCUGAGGAGCGAAAGUGUGGGGAGCGAACAGG